ACCUCAGAGCAGUCAAUUACCAAAGCUACCCGGGAUCAUCAAUCAUGGGGGAUGCUUGAAGUUUAGGGGAGGAGCGAUGGUCAAACUAUCGAUUGCUGCAGUUUUGUCCUCCCCAACCCCCCACCCUCGUUCACGGUCCCCUGCACAUAAAAUCUAAAACAGACUAUCCCGUUAAUAGUGGAAUUUAUCAAUGAUUAUGUACCCAGUUGUGAAUGUGGCCUCAUACAUAGAUGGCUUUUGAAAAUACACGGCAGAAAAUAUAUGAUUCCGUUAUAUUUUGGUUUGGUUUGCUUUUCGUGCUGAUGAUGUUGCUUUUCAGAGGUUUGGGUUUUUUUUUAACUUUAAGAAAAUGACUCAAGGGGUAGUUAUAGAUAUUUGGCCUGAUUUUAAUAGGCGAAGGGAAUGAGCUCCAGAGGUCAAUAAACCCCUCCAAAAUGAUGAAUGAUUGAGUACCUGUGAUGAUGAUAGUGAUUACCGGAGCAAUUAAACAGUUUGAUUAAAUGAGCCAUCAUAACAAUGAUGUCUGCGGGAAAUCAGCCCUCACGUAUAAAGAAAGAUAGUGUGGAGAGCUGACAAACGCCAGUGGGCAUUCCUGCAUGUUCCGCUAGCGCCGAGCCCUGCAGAGCAGGACUGUAUUUACAAAUAUGAGGGGAAUACGGAGAAAAGUCCCUCUCCUACUUUUAGCCAGAGUUGCACCCUGCUUUAAACCCGCCAGAAGCCGGAGAGCAGACACGGGUUUGUUUUUUUUCCUAGAGGAUCUCCUCCAAGAUUAAAGCUAGUCCUAAGUGCAACCGAAUUGCUGUGACUGACUUUCACGGGACUGUAAAGAGAGAACUGCUCGGCCCAUUGUUUGAAGUCGGAUUCAGUGCACAGCCCAAAGAGAAAAGGAAAAAAAAUCUUGAGAGCCCGGUUUGGUAUUGCACAGAGAGAGAGCUGACAAAAUAUUACAGCGUGUUUCCUAGAAGUACAUGGUGAGAGCCGGCGGUGUGUUCCCGAAAAGAGGUUGCUUUUUAUUUCCACCACCCUCCCCCCCCCAAGAUUGUGAUCGUCUUUGUAUGUCUUUCUUUUGAUCCCACAAAGAGAAUGCAAUACACAUAUAUGUGUUUGCUCUCCAUAUAAGAAAUGCCAUACAAUGGAAUAUGCGGCUGGUUAGUCCUCAUAAUGCUUAGUUUUGCUGUAAUUAAUUGAAAACAGUUAUUAGGUCGUCAUUGGCAAUAGCGUAAAUAAUUGCGCAGAUUUUUACUUAAAAUUGACCGGUCAUAGAGUGAUAGAUCGAUUCGAGGUAUAAAAAUGAUGUAUCAAAACAUCAAUGUCGAUUAUUUGAAAUAUUGUAGUCGAAUCUUUUUAUUGCUUCAUCGGUUAAGUGUCUGAAAGUGCUGUGUUCCAACAUAUAUUUAUGUUGUCAAUACUGUCAAAACUGUCAGUUUUAUUACAGUGGAUUUGUAAUACAUUUCGGAUUUGCUCAUUUACAUAAAAUGUCCACCUCAGAUACCCCUCCUUUUCUCCAUCUCUGGAAAUCUGUGUCAGUUUAAUGAAAGGAUUCAAGAUCCAUACCUGAAGAGGGAAAAGGGAAAAAAAAAAAAAAAAAAAGG